GAAGAAGAUGACGAUGAUGAUGAUCUUUUUGUUUAUGUUGGUGGCGAUGAAGGAAAAGAUUCUAAGAAAACGGUGAGACUUGAGUUAAAGCGCAGGUACGGGUCGAUGAAUCAAGAAUCUAAGGCAGAAGAAUCUUUCAUCGCUUCCAAAACUCGGGAUUUGACCAGAAUUCAGACUCUACACAAGAGGAUCAUAGAAAAGAAGAAUCAAAAUGCCGUUUCAAGACUAAAUAAAGGUUUGAAGCAGGAAAAGAAAGAGCUGAAGCAACCUGUGGUUGCCCCAGCAGCAUCCCCGGAAUCUUAUGCAACUGGGAUU
rnacentral:misc_RNA from 1 species